rnacentral:misc_RNA from 1 species
UACGGGGGGGGCAAGCGUUGUUCGGAAUUACUGGGCGUAAAGGGCGCGCAGGCGGCCCGGCAAGUCCUUCGUGAAAUCCCACGGCUCAACUGUGGAACUGCGGCGGAUACUGCUGGGCUUGAGUCCGGGAGAGGGGAGUGGAUUUCCCAGUGUAGCGGUGAAAUGCGUAGAUAUUGGGAGGAACACCGGUGGCGAAGGCGACUCCCUGGACCGGUACUGACGCUGAGGCGCGAAAGCUAGGGGAGCAAACGGG